rnacentral:rRNA from 1 species
GGGUGCGAUCAUACCAGCACUAAUGCACCGGAUCCUAUCAGAACUCCGAAGUUAAACGUGCUUGGGCGAGAGUAGUACUAAGAUGGGUGACCACUUGGGAAGCCCUCGUGUUGUACCUC